rnacentral:rRNA from 1 species
CUACCUGUAGCGGCGGCCGCGCCACCUCGGCCGCGCCCCGCCGGCGGUACACUAAACUAUGUUUUACUUUACCUUCUGAGCGUCUUAUUUUAAUAAGUUUAAAACUUUCAACAACGGAUCUCUUGGUUCUGGCAUCGAUGAAGAACGCAGCGAAAUGCGAUAAGUAAUGUGAAUUGCAGAAUUCAGUGAAUCAUCGAAUCUUUGAACGCACAUUGCGCCCAUCAGUAUUCUGGUGGGCAUGCCUGUUCGAGCGUCAUUUCAACCCUUAAGCCUAGCUUAGUGUUGGGACUCUACUGUACUGUAGUUCCCCAAAGACAGUGGCGGAGCGGCAGUGGUCCUCUGAGCGUAGUAAUUCAUUUCUCGCUCCUGUCAGGGCCCUGUCCUUCCCGCCGUAAAACCCCC